rnacentral:misc_RNA from 1 species
GAUAAGAACGUAGCGAAAUGCGAUACGUAAUGUGAAUUGCAGAUUUCAGUGAAUCAUCGAAUCUUUGAACGCACAUUGCGCCCGCUAGUAUUCUGGCGGGCAUGCCUGUUCGAGCGUCAUUUCAACCAUCAAGCCCUAGGCUUGCGUUGGAGCCCUGCGGCUGCCGCAGGCUCCCAAAUCCAGUGGCGGGCUCGUCGUCGUACCGAGUGCAGUAAACAUCCUCGCUCAGGGAACGUGACGGGUUCUUGCCGUGAAACCCCCCACAUAUCAAGGUUGACCUCGGAUCAGGUAGGAAUACCCGCUGAACUUAAGCAUAUCAAUAAGCGGAGGA